GAGCUCACUUUGGCAGCACAUAUCCUAAAAUUGGGACUAUACAGAAAGGAUUAGCCCCUGCACAAGGAUGACAGGCAAAUUUGUGAAAGGUUCCAUAUUUUU